rnacentral:other from 1 species
UACGAGCUGCAUUGUACGUAUGGAUAUUAAGUUUUAACCUUUAUGCUGUAACAGGGAGUUUUAUAUAGAAGCUGGAAUGACAGGCCUUAUUCUCUUUUGACAAUAAGGACAUGCAAGAUAGCUUUUGCGAACACCCACUUUGAGGAGUGGUGGUUUAAAACUUUCUUAUUAAAGUACGGCAAAGGCGGCUUAUCU